rnacentral:rRNA from 1 species
CAGCAGCCGCGGGAAUACGAAGGGUGCAAGCGUUACUCGGAAUUACUGGGCGUAAAGCGUGCGUAGGUGGUUGUUUAAGUCUGCUGUGAAAGCCCUGGGCUCAACCUGGGAAUUGCAGUGGAUACUGGGCGACUAGAGUAAGGUAGAGGAUAGUGGAAUUUCCGGUGUAGCAGUGAAAUGCGUAGAGAUCGGAAGGAACAUCUGUGGCGAAGGCGACUAUCUGGGCCAACACUGACACUGAGGCACGAAAGCGUGGGGAGCAAACAGGAUUAGAUACCCCCGUAGUCCCUGUCUCUUAUAC